rnacentral:rRNA from 1 species
CCCUUAGAUGUUCUGGGCCGCACGCGCGCUACACUGACGAUGGCAACGAGUUUUUCCUUCGCCGAAAGGUGUGGGUAAUCUUUUGAAACAUCGUCGUGCUGGGGAUAGAUCAUUGCAAUUUUUGAUCUUGAACGAGGAAUUCCUAGUAAGCGCGGGUCAUCAGCUCGCGUUGAUUACGUCCCUGCCCUUUGUACACACCGCCCGUCGCUACUACCGAUUGAAUGGUUUAGUGAGGACUCCUGAUUGGCGCCGCCGCCCCGGCAACGGAGCAGCGGACUGCCGAAAAGUUGUUCAAACUUGAUCAUUUAGAGGAAGUAAAAGUCGUAACA